rnacentral:rRNA from 1 species
ACGAGUGGCGGACGGGUGAGUAAUGUCUGGGAAACUGCCCGAUGGAGGGGGAUAACUACUGGAAACGGUAGCUAAUACCGCAUAACGUCGCAAGACCAAAGAGGGGGACCUUCGGGCCUCUUGCCAUCGGAUGUGCCCAGAUGGGAUUAGCUAGUAGGUGGGGUAACGGCUCACCUAGGCGACGAUCCCUAGCUGGUCUGAGAGGAUGACCAGCCACACUGGAACUGAGACACGGUCCAAACUCCUACGGGAGGCAGCAG